AAAUCAGCUCGGUNCUCGCCGAAUGCCUCUCAGAUGUGAAGUUUGAUCAUGGCUCAGACUGAAGCGCGUUACGCGUCAGCGCCUCAACACAUGCCAAGCUCGAACGGCAGACACAGGCAGCAGCCCUAUGCCUCUCCUGGGCUGGCCGCAGUGGCCGCGCACGGGCUGAGGCACACUACCACUCCGCGCACACUCCUACCUCUGACUCCGUGCGCGCGGCACUAACACCGCUAGCGGAAAACCUUACCCGCCCUAACUACCGCCCAUUAACGCAACCCUNAACGCGAGCUUGCAAACAAGCAAGCGGACGAAAUACCUAUACGGAGAAACCUUUGCUCGCGACUAUGCAACUUGCACNGCCCCGCAAUGGCUCCGCGGACUAUAAAGCCCUAACGCCUUUGCGCCCCGGCGCGNGCACUAACAANACAGCGCGGNUCAUCCCCGAAGCCUGCCNAGNAGAGCGCGCCCAGGGAGCCGAGCAACGUACGCCCGCUGAAGGACGACCUUAGCGGACGUACCCUAGGGAACGCGAGAAGCACGGAGCUUGGAAAAAUACCGAAGCGGCCGCCAGAGCCAGCCCCUUAGGGCUGGACAAGAAUCAUCGCUUAGGGAAAACGACGCAAAACGCAAUCCAUGGAGGAAGCUUCCCCUCCCUAGGCGGAAAUCCUUUCCCUCCCUUUAGACCCCUGCNGGGGGGUAAACAGAUGGAGACGACGGUNCNCGACGUUUUAGCACGGCCGUGGGCAACACAUUUAAACUUAUUUAGNUGGGCGAACUACACAAUAUAAUUCGGUGGGUGGUCCUCGGCCCAACAAGAGGUCCACUCCGUUUAGGGUAAGUUUUCANCCGUAAGAUUUCUCACGAAUUUGAUAAUGCACCCCUGGUGUGCCGCUGGGUUUAAGAGGGAGG
rnacentral:rRNA from 1 species